AUAAAACUCAGACAACAAACAACAAUUCAUAGCAAAUUAAUCCAAAGAAAGCUACUUUCUAAAGCCCUUAGAAACUCCCUUGUUUCAUACUUGUUCUUGACCACCACUAUAGCCACCAUGGCUCCUCCACCACUGCAAACUAUUUCUGCUACCGUCAUCAACAUGACACUCCUUACAGAAAGCACAAACGAGUAACAACCAAUACCCACAAAUGUCGUGCCUAAGUUGUAUAUUCUGUUGCUGAAACCGCACCCGAACUCGGGUAUUACCUCUUUCUCUCUCUCAUAACCGAUGCGAACAACCACCACAACAACCACCCAUACCACCGCCCAUAAAAUCUGGUGAGUUUUCCAGCCACCAUGGACGCCACCCUUGUUUGGUCGUCGUCCGCUCACGCAACUCCAUCUCCCUCCUCUUCUUCAUACUCUUUUAUUAAGAAAGGAGUAAUUAAUUGGUCCUCAAAACUUAGGAUGAAGAUCCAUCAAACAGGAAGUAUAAACUACGGUUGAGGUACAAAGAAGAUCAUAGGAUGCCUUAGAGUGAGGAUGCAACCACCAAAUUCACGAUCGAUGUUCAGUAAAGAUAACUAUGUCUCACUAGUAAUAAUGGAUGUAUUAUUUAAACUCUAAGUUUAAUUUCAAGAAUUGAAUAUUAAUAUUUAAUCAAUGCUAGAAGUGUUUAUUAUUAAAGAUUAUUUAGUAAUUUAAAAAGGUUAUGUCGCCUUAUAUUUUCCACGAGGGAGAUACGACAUGUGACGCUCCGACUAAGCUAGGAUUUUCCGCUGCUAAUUAAAGAUAAUUAACCUAAUUAAUGGUGUUUAGAAGUCGGGGUGUUACAGUUUGGUAUUCAGAGCCAAGGUUCUGCGACCAUAAGUGCUAAACCUUACGGGUUUUGCACGAAAUAAAAAUUCAAUAGGCGUUAAGCAAGAAUUUUAAGGAAUAAGUUAAAAAAGAAUAUGUUAAAAUCAAGUCAAGUUAAAAUGGAAUGAGUUUGAGUGUAGGAACGGGAUAAAAGGGAUUUAUUUCUUCUGUUAUUUAUGUUUUCUUGAUUGAAUAUGUUAUGCAAAAUAUCGACUAUCGAGGUUACUAACGAUGCCACGAACGAAGCUUACAAGCGCAACAUUCACGAUGACGUCGUCCACAAUGAUGUUUUCCAUGUUGAUAUUUAUGACGACCAACCUAUAGAAGACCACAAGAGAUGAUGGAACGAUUAGGAACGACAAGUACGAUGUUAACUGAAUUAGUCAAAGAUUCUCGACAAACGAAAGACACUAAAGCGAACGAAAAUGCUUCACCAUACGAAAAAAAAUUCACACUCAAAUCCACCAAUCUAUGACGACAAGCCCGAUUCGAUGGAACAUGAAAAAUGGAUCAACCAGAUAGAUCAACUAUUCAAAACUUUGUAAUGCCCGACGAAUAGGAAGCAAGUGUCGUGCAGAAACGAAUACAUGUUAUCGAUGUGGAGGAAAGAUCAUUUCGCGAGAGACUGUCCUAAACCACCUUUCACGAAUACAGGAGGAGAAACCUCGACCGAUCACGGACGGAGCAACGAUGCUAAGGUUAAUCAUAAUCCAUCACGACCACCAAUAUACGUAAGAGCUUACAUGAUGAAAGACGAAGAUGACGCCAAUGCUGAUAUUAUUUUAAUUUAUCUCUCUCACUCUGGAACCGAACUUCCCUUGAUUUUAUGUUUAUCGAGUUUCUUACCCUGGACAGACUACGCAAAGUUUAAGCAUUACUAUUUUCUUGGAAGAAGUUAAGUUAAGCACGAUGCAAACUCAAAGAAUUUGUGGAUAUGAACUUUUAUGGUUAUGAAAUCUUUAAGGAUAGUAGAAAUGUUUAAGUACCAAACGAGAAUAAGGUUGUAUUUCACGAGUGGUGGAUCAUUAAUUAAGUAAAGGUUAUUCUAGGAUUAAAGUGUUCAAGUUAAGAAUGAAAUUGAUUUUAGGGUUAUCUUCCUGUGUUAUUCACCAUGAAUAUUUUGGUGGUUAUAAGUACAAAAGUCUACUAUCUAAAUGAUGAUUGAUAUGCCUCUGUUAGGGAAGCUAAGCUAGAAAUUUUAAAGGUUAUGCAAGAAUAUUAUGCGAAAUCGAGCAUGAUUUAUGGUGAAAAUAUGAAAGUGGGUUUGCAUAUAAAGUUUUGAGGACCUUACCAAAAUAAGUUAUUGAGAAUUAGUUUGUCUAUUAGGUUGAUGAUAUCAAUGAAUGUUAUGGAAUCGAAGAGAAUUAUGAAUGAUUGAGGAAUGCAAUGAAAUUGGGAAUAGAAAGUCGAAAAAAUGACAUGUCUAUGGAACCAGGUAGUCUGAACUAAGUUCUCUAGGAGCUAGGCACGCUUGAUGGCUUAGUAUUAUCUGCAAAAUACGAGAUUUACUAACUUAAAAUAUCAAGGAUAAGUAACGAAGUCAUAUGUCUAACGAUAUAUUUCUAGUCACGUGAUUGGACUCGAACCCCUGCAACGAACGUAGUCAACGAAGUUAUCCAACGUAGAAGAAAAGAUCUGAGAUCAAAAUCAAAACAAAUCAACUAGAGAAAGUCAACGACAAGAUUCCUGCAGCAAAGAAGCGCAAGAGCAAACGAAAACGCAAUAUCUCCAAUUAGUCGCCCAAGAAUGAUAUAAUGUACGAAUCGCAAUGUUUUAUGUAAACGUGUUAUGAAUCAACCAUGCUCGUGUGUUAGAUCAAAUGAUUAUGAUAGGAAUGUUAUUCUUAUGUUGAAUGUGAAAUUUUCAAUUAUGUCUUUAUGAUAUGCUUUGUGGAAAAUGUUUAUGCUGAUAUGAUUGUAUUGGUAAUAUAAUCGUCAUACAAGGAAGCCGUCUUCGAUGGAAGUUCUCCUGAGCUCAGAG